CCUACGGGAGGCAGCAGUAGGGAAUAUUGCUCAAUGGGGGAAACCCUGAAGCAGCAACGCCGCGUGGAGGAUGAAGGUUUUCGGAUUGUAAACUUCUUUUGUUAGGGAAGAAAAUGACGGUAUCUAACGAAUAAGCAACGGCUAACUACGUGCCAGCAGCCGGGGUAAUACGGAGGGUGCAAGCGUUACUCGGAAUGACUGGGCGUAAAGGGCGCGUAGGCGGGAUAGCAAGUCAGAUGUGAAAUCCUAUGGCUUAACCAUAGAACUGCGUUUGAAACUGUUGUUCUAGAGUAUGGGAGAGGUAGGUGGAAUUCUUGGUGUAGGGGUAAAAUCCGUAGAGAUCAAGAAGAAUACUCAUUGCGAAGGCGACCUGCUAGAACGUAACUGACGCUGAUGCGCGAAGGCGUGGGGAGCAAACAGGAUUAGAUACCCCUGUAGUC
rnacentral:rRNA from 1 species